rnacentral:rRNA from 1 species
GACGAACGCUGGCGGCGUGCUUAACACAUGCAAGUCGAACGGAAAGGCCCCUUUGGGGGUACUCGAGUGGCGAACGGGUGAGUAACACGUGAGUAACCUGCCCUUGACUUCGGGAUAACUUCAGGAAACUGGGGCUAAUACCGGAUAGGAAUCCUUGCUGCAUGGUGGGGGUUGGAAAGCUUCGGCGGUUUUGGAUGGACUCGCGGCUUAUCAGCUUGUUGGUGGGGUAGUGGCUUACCAAGGCUUUGACGGGUAGCCGGCCUGAGAGGGCGACCGGCCACAUUGGGACUGAGAGACGGCCCAGACUCCGACGGGAGGCAGCAGUGGGGAAGAUCGCACAAGGGGCGGAAGCCUGAUGCAGCAACGCCGCGUGCGGGAUGACGGCCUUCGGGUUGUAAACCGCUUUCAGCAGGGGCGAAGCUUGUGGUGACGGUACCUGCAGAAGAAGCACCGGCUAACUACGUG